GUAAGAACUGAACCACGAUAGAAGUUAAAGUGUAGCUUCUACAGAAACUGAGGAAAGACUUAACGCAACCCGGGAGGUCAGAGGGGAAAUGUUGAAGAAUGGGAGAGGCUGGGAACACCGCUUUCCCCGGAGCUACACACCUAGGGAGCAUAUAAUAUGAAACAGGAGCUGGAUAUGCAUCAUUUCAGACUGGGCUCACACCAGCCCUGUAAGAUAUCCUGGAGAAGCCCAGCAUAUACACACUGUACUUCAACUUUUACCAGAUAUCUUUAGUAGCCCUCUUUUCAAGUAAAUUGCAAAACAGCUGUUGACUCUCCUACCCUGGGCUCUCUAGAGCUGCUUAGGCCAUAGCCACUAGUCACACAUGGCUAUUAAAAUAUUGGUAGUCCAAAAUGAGAUGUGCUCUGACUAUAAAAUACAUACUAUAUGUCAAAGACAUACUACAAAAGAGAAAAUGCAAACUAUCUCAAUAAUAAUUUUUUAUAUUGAUACU